CAAAAUAUAGCUUAACCAAAGCAUCUUGCUUACACCAAGAAAAUAUCUGUGAAAACCAGAUUAUUUUGA
rnacentral:tRNA from 1 species